rnacentral:rRNA from 1 species
GAUUAAAGUAAAUAAGGGCACACAAGGGAUGCCUAGGUAGUAGAGCCGAAGAAGGACCUGGUAAAGCUGCGAUAAGCUUGGUGAAAUUGCAAACGAACUGUAUACCAAGAUUUCCGAAUGGAGCAAUCUGUAAAGAGUCAUGUCUUUACACGAAAGAGGGAACCGGGUGAACUGAAACAUCUAAGUAACCCGAGGAAAAGAAAGUAACAACGAUACCCUAAGUAGCGGCGAGCGAACGGGGUAGAGCCUAAACCAUAUUCAUGUCAAGGAUGCAGCCGUUGUGGAUAUGGGGUANCGGGAAAGAGAAUGGAAGAACUGCAAGAUAUUCCGCAGAGUCAAGCAAAAGAACAAGAAAGAUCUGGAAAGGUCUACCGAAGAAGGUGAAAGUCCUGUAUUGGUACAUUGCUUGCGCUGUUUCUCUUCUCCCAAGUAAUGUGGAACACGAGGAAUUCUGCAUGAAUCAGCGAGGACCAAAUCUCGUAAGGCUAAAUACUCU